rnacentral:tRNA from 1 species
GGAGAGGUGCCAGAGUGGUCGAAUGGGGCGGUCUCGAAAACCGUUGUGGGAGCAAUCUUACCGAGUGUUCGAAUCCCUCCCUCUCCGCCA